AUGUACAAGGAAGUGGAGAUCCGUCCGGCGGCGGCAGCGCGCUUCGGGGGAAGAUCGUCGUGCAAGGCGGGGCGCAAGUUCAGGCACGACGAGGUCAAGAAGUACUACCUCGACGCGGCCGACGUCCUCGACGGGCAGCUCGAUUAUCUUCGUGACUUUGAUUCAUGA
rnacentral:rRNA from 1 species